CGUCAAUAUUUUCUCCACUUUUGAUCCUGCCCGUUCAUCGGCUGAGCAGCUCUAUAUGAGAAAGUGGACCUCGCCCCUUGCAGGAGUCAUUCGUCGCCUGUGCCAUUGCUGCCUUUGAUGCUCUUCUGAUUCCAUCCGAUCUCUCUCUCUCGAUCGAUCGAUCGAUGCCGAUUUCGCCAUCUGAAGCGCGUGGAUCGCUUCGCGAUCUUCUGUCCCACGGCGGUUUUGGCAGCUCGAAGCAGCUGGUGUUGAAGAUCGAGGCCAAUCAGCCUGGCUGAGUCGCUGUCUGGUUCAGGUAUGUGGGUGGUGGAAUAUGCGUUCGGAUGAGUUUAGCUCGAUCACGCGGAUUCGCUGGCGGUCUCGCUUCUCGAUGGCCGCUGUUGACGCCGGAACAAUCUCCUGCUAGAUGAAUUCAUGAUGUCAUGGUGGCCAUCACGACUGGAGUUUCUUGAGGCCGUGCCCAAUGAAAAGCAGUGUGUGGGGAGGUCAACCGGGGAUUUGCCGAGCAUCAAUAGGUUCAUCAGAGGCUGAAGUGAACUACUUGUCCUUGUCAUGACGCGUUGGAAUCGUUGGUGAGGUUGUGGCAAUGUUUUUUAAGACGAGGAUGUAUGAGAGAGGUCGGGGACGAGAGCUCCCCUGAUUUUACGGGGGGGACUGAGUCUCUGAUUGUUCUUUUGUCAUCCAGGCCUUUGCCAUGACGGGUGCGCUCGCAUGGCGGGUCAAAAAAGUCAAUAAAAGUUCCCUUUUGGGGGGUUUUGGAGGGGAGAUCGCACGGGGGUUGCCCGGGUUCUCCUCUAUCCUGUGCCGUUUUCCCUUCUUCUUUUUUCUGCGCUCUGCGUUCGCUGAGCCCAAUUUGCCCUUCUUCACUAUCCUUCGGCUAUGGUCACAAAAUUGCAUCAGAAGACUCCGAAACUUCAUCAGCAGGCAAGCGUUUAUCCUCAAUUCCACACCGCGGAAGCUGAUGCUCUAAUUCGAGGUACUAAGGCCAUCUUAAUUCAAAAUUUGAAUUGUUCAAUUAAAAUAGAGAAUUAGCGUAUGCGAGUUUCAGAAUUGGUAAUGCCUCUAUUCUUGUAAGACGAUGAUACAUACUAGCUAACAGUCUACUGGGUGUGGUUUACUGUCUUUGGAGGUACUAUGAGAAAUGUUCUAGGGUUUUCAAGAAGAGUUGUCACUAUUGGAAAUAGGCCAGACAACUAUAAGAGCUACCUCCAUGUUCUGAUUAACAAAAGGUCAAACUUAAUUGCUCACUAUGAUGCGCUUGCAUGUUCACCGUUGGUUUAGUGAGGUUCAUGAACCGCCCCUUUAUCUCUAGUUAGGUCAACUGCCUAUUUUACUUUUGCUUUAAUUAAACAAAUAGUCAAGUUUGUUCAAUAUGGCUCUUGGUCAUCAUACCAGAAUUGGCAUAAUUAUUCUGAUUUUACAAGAUAAAACAGCAACUAAUAUUUGUUGUAUCGCUCUUUGUUAUGUGGCUUAAAUCAUAGCUACAUCAAUAGUAUCAUGAAUUCACCGUUUUGAUUUAUAUAUACCACUAUUGAAUUCAUUAUUAUGUUGAUAACAUGGCGGCAAGCAAACAGGAUUGACAAUAUAUAUGUUAAUUACCGGUAAGUGCUAUUUGAUUUUUGCGCCUCGGUGCUUUGGUUUCUGUGUUGACCUUGCAUAUCCUCUGAGGGUACAUCAAAUUAAAAUAUCGUCCUACCUUUCUGAAACUAGUUUUUCCACUUGCGUGUCUUAUUAGUGUCAGCAAGUGCAUUGUUAAUUGGUGGGCGGUCAGUACCUUAGAUCGAGCAACACCAAUUUUUGUUUCAUGUUUUGAGUUAUUACUGGUGAAGUUCUGUACAUUGGGCCACUGCAUGAAGAGUUUGUUUGUUUAGCAGUCAUGUAAUCAUCUAUAGCAGAUGUACUGGUUCUCUUUGGGUUAUGAAGACCAUGGUGUUUGUAUUGUCUCGGUUUCCUUGGCAAGUUGCCAAUGCACCAGAGCUUUGAAACCAAAUUGGUUAGCGGGUAUUGGAUAUUAGCAAUCUCCUUGAAGUGGGGAAAUGGACAGCUUGAUUCUCCCUGUUGCUGAUUAGAAGAAUGAGGAAGCGGAAGUACCCCCUGCUGCUGGCUGGCUGUCUGGCUGUCAGUGCAAUCAACAUUAUGGUGGCAAGCCCUGAUGCUGAAUUAUACCUUGCCGCUGGAUGACUCUCACUAUGUUCAACUUUAUGCCGGAAGACUUAUUGUUUUUGAUGACUGAAAACGUUUUACUUUGAGUUGGAUGUUGGAAAUAGCCAUGGUACUUUUCUA